rnacentral:lncRNA from 1 species
GCCAGUGGAAGGGAAGAGAAGGGGAGAGUGUCCUAAGUAGGUGGGUGCGAGCCCUCCAUGAUUCCUUGAACCUGCUCACUGGCUCUCUGGCCCUUUCUCUUGAUUUCAACAAAAAGAGUGCCAAGAAGAGCCUAGGUGAGGAAGGCCCUACUUCUGCAAAGACCCCAAAUAGGAGCAAAUAUGUCCUCUCUUAUAUCAUCAGGCCUCCACUGACUCCAUGAUGAAAGCAGACACAAGCAGUUGAUUAUGAGAAAUGAGUUAUUUUAUAGAAUAAUCUUUGAAGCUUUCUAUAGGUAAUUAACCUCUUUCACUGUUUGGGUUUUCUUCAGUUUGUAUUCAAGACCAGGUCCUACAAAGAGAGAACGAUACAUGAGGAAUUGGCUAAAAAUCUGAGUGAUCUUUUGAAGUCAAAUGAUUCAACAAUAGUCAAGCAUGUUCUAAAGCAUUCUUGGUUCUUCUUUGCCAUUAUUCUAAAAUCAAUGGC